UACGUAGGGUGCGAGCGUUGUCCGGAAUUAUUGGGCGUAAAGAGCUCGUAGGCGGUUUGUCGCGUCGGCUGUGAAAACUCGGGGCUCAACCCCGAGCCUGCAGUCGAUACGGGCAAACUAGAGUGUGGUAGGGGAGACUGGAAUUCCUGGUGUAGCGGUGGAAUGCGCAGAUAUCAGGAGGAACACCAAUGGCGAAGGCAGAUCUCUGGGCCGUAACUGACGCUGAGGAGCGAAAGCAUGGGGAGCGAACAGG
rnacentral:rRNA from 1 species